rnacentral:tRNA from 1 species
GGUCGAAUGGCUGAGUGUAUAGGCAAUAAAUUGUAAAUUUAUCUAGGAGAAUAAAUCUCUUCUACCA